rnacentral:rRNA from 1 species
UACCUACGGGGGGCAGCAGUCGAGAAUCAUUCACAAUGGGGGAAACCCUGAUGCAGCGACGCCGCGUGAGCGAAGAAGUAUCUCGGUAUGUAAAGCUCUAUCAGCAGGGAAGAAAAUGACGGUACCUGACUAAGAAGCCCCGGCUAACUACGUGCCAGCAGCCGCGGUAAUACGUAGGGGGCAAGCGUCAUCCGGAUUUACUGGGUGUAAAGGGAGCGCAGGCGGCGCGGUAAGUCUGAUGUGAAAGCCCGGGGCUCAACCCCGGGACUGCAUUGGAAACUGUCGUGCUGGAGUGUCGGAGGGGG